UGCAUUUUGCACAAAUACCCUUCACAUGAUUGCAAUAAUGCAGAUGAAUCUAAGUGUAUUGGUAACUUCACCAUCCUGUGUAGCCGAAGAAGCACCUGUAUGUCCACCAAAAACCAGAGCACAUAAUAUAUAAAAGAACAAGUACAGAAGGCUCACAGUCAACAACCUGUCAACGGACUGCAUGUGACAUUGAGUUCUAUUGCGAAGCGAGAAGGUCAUCAAACUAUGGGCCGGGAACUCUUAGCCGCCGGAAUGUAUGAAAGAAAUGUGGAGUGAGCCACCCCGACAAGAGUUAUUUUUUUAUAAUAAUCAGAUAGAACUGUCACAAAUAGAAGAGUUAAAAUUCACUGCAAUUGAUCAACCACAGAUUUUGUAUAAAAAAAAUGCCUAUGUGAUUAAUGUUGAGUGUAUUCUGAAUAUUUUAUGAAAUACCUAUAUUUUUGUUUUAUUUGUAUAAAUGAUUGCAUCUCUUCUAAAUAUACUGA